UUACAUACGGGACGCAGCAGUCGAGAAUCAUUCACAAUGGGGGAAACCCUGAUGGUGCGACGCCGCGUGGGGGAAUGAAGGUCUUCGGAUUGUAAACCCCUGUCAUGUGGGAGCAAAUUAAAAAGAUAGUACCACAAGAGGAAGAGACGGCUAACUCUGUGCCAGCAGCCGCGGUAAUACAGAGGUCUCAAGCGUUGUUCGGAAUCACUGGGCGUAAAGCGUGCGUAGGCUGUUUCGUCAGUCGUGUGUGGAAGGCGCGGGCUCAACCCGCGGACGGCAAAUGAUACUGCGAGACUAGGGUAAUG
rnacentral:rRNA from 1 species